AAAGCGUCUGGGGUUAAGGAGAGUCGCUGCCAUCAGCCCCACUGAUGAGUCUUAGAGACGAAACGCAUU
rnacentral:hammerhead_ribozyme from 1 species